rnacentral:rRNA from 1 species
AGUGAACGCUGGCGGUAGGCCUAACACAUGCAAGUCGAACGGAAGCACAGUAAGAGCUUGCUCUUACGGGUGGCGAGUGGCGGACGGGUGAGGAAUACAUCGGAAUCUACUUUUUCGUGGGGGAUAACGUAGGGAAACUUACGCUAAUACAGCAUACGACCUACGGGUGAAAGCAGGGGAUCUUCGGACUUUGCGCGAUUGAAUGAGCCGAUGUCGGAUUAGCUAGUUGGCGGGGUAAAGGCCCACCAAGGCGACGAUCCGUAGCUGGUCUGAGAGGAUGAUCAGCCACACUGGAACUGAGACACAGUCCAGACUCCUACGGGAGGCAGCAGUGGGGAAUAUUAGGCAAUGGGGGCAAGCCUGAUCCAGCCAUACCGCGUGGGUGAAGAAGGCCUUCGGGUUGUAAAGCCCUUUUGUUGUGAAAGAAAAGCAGCAGGUUAAUACCCCGCUGUUCUGACGGUACCCAAAGAAUAAGCACCGGCUAACUUCGUG